rnacentral:rRNA from 1 species
UACGUAGGGAGCAAGCGUUGUUCGGAUUCAUUGGGCGUAAAGGGUGCGUAGGCGGCGCGGUAAGUCGGGUGUGAAAUCUUGGAGCUUAACUCCGAAACUGCAUUCGAUACUGCCGUGCUUGAGGACUGGAGAGGAGACUGGAAUUUACGGUGUAGCGGUGAAAUGCGUAGAUAUCGUAAGGAAGACCAGUGGCGAAGGCGGGUCUCUGGACAGUUCCUGACGUGAGGCACGAAGGCCAGGGGGAGCAAACGGGG